AUUACAGAUGGGAAAACAUGCCUCAAUAGCAUUUGUUUCUGAGAUACUUGCUGCAUUACUAGAAAAUAACAGCUGGAGCAUCAAGAACAGAGAACUUAACACCCAAGGACGACACUGUGACCAUCUGUGUUGGUGAAUACGUUCCUAGGGGUAGACUCUGGAUGAAACAAGGUGACUCCAAGAGCAAAGCUUAGAAUACCUGAAUACCUGCAAGCAAGACAAGUAGAUUAAGUCCUGACAGAAAAGUAUACGCGGGCCCAAGGGGCAUAUUGUCCUGGAAUUAUGGCCAACAUUCUACAGGGCAACAGGUCAUUGAUUCUGAUCCUGCCAGCCUCCACCCAUCUUAUUGGUGGGCAUCAUCCCAGGGUGAACCUGUGAAAGAUAUUGCUUAGUACUGCUUGGAGCUAUUUUUAGCCUCUGUGGACAGCUCCAUAGGGAGAAUGAACUAUUCGUCAACGUCACCCAUAUUUUACUGAAGAUUUUGAAGGUAUUCCAAUGUGACUGACUACUACGUUUCCUCACAUGUGUGCUGCUGUAUCUGAGAUCACCAUGUUUUCAAUUAUCUCAUAUGAACCUGUUUCUGUUCAGAAAAAAUCCUUCCCUGGUGAUCCUAUUGUGGUAGACAUAAAACUGUGCCACCCAGAUCCCAUUCCAGGGAAGAAUAUGCUGCUGAGCUGUUGGAAGUACAAUCAGUGGAAAACCUUGGUCUGUCAGCAACUUCAAGGUUUGCCUCCUUUGCAGAAAUGGUCCAUUCAAAGUCAUGCCCUUCCUAUAGCAGUCUACAUUCAACCACUGAGUGAGGCAGAAAUAAAAAAGUGCUGAUAAUUUUCAACCUACAAGGGCAUUAAUGAGCAAUACCUGCUCCAGAGCUCCACAGUGGGUUCUCAGAAGAUGUGUCUUGCCUGCAGCACAGCUUGACUCCUU
rnacentral:lncRNA from 1 species